rnacentral:lncRNA from 1 species
GUUUUCAAGGGUUUUCUUUUCUUCACAUCCUUGCUAAUACUUAACCUUUCUUCUUUUUGAUGGUUGAAAUCCUGACAGAUGUGAGAUAACCUCAUUGGGGUUUUAAUUUGCAAUGUCCUGAUAAUCGUUUUGAACAUUCUUUUCAUAUACUACUAGUUUCUAUUGAGAAAUGUCUGUUCAGAUCCCUUGCUCAUUUUUAUAUUGGAUUGUUUCUUGCUGUUCAGUUGCUUUUGCAUGAUUGCCUCAUUGCUUUGUUGUUAUGUAGAAACUUUUUACUUUGGUCCACUUCUAAUUUAUCUGUUUUUGCUUUUGUAACCUCUGUUUUUGAGUUCAUGUUCAAAAAAUUAUUGCCCAUGCCAAUAGUUUUAUAAUAUAAAACUUUUCUCAAUUUGAUUCUUGUUGUUUUACUCUUACAGUUAAGUACUCAAAAUAUUUUGAGUUUUGUGUGUGUUGUGGUCCUUUGUGUAAGAGUCCAUUUUCCUCCUUCUCUAUGUGGAUAUUCAGUUUUCUUAACAUUACUUUAUUGAAGAAACUGUGUCCCCUCUUCCCCCCAAAAGAGGGAUAUUUAAGGAAAAAAAAAAAGACAGUAUUGAUAGCUAAACUAACAGCCAACUUCUCAGUGAACAAAACAUCAGAAUCAAAUAUUCAGUGUAUGAAGUAAAAUACCUGCCACCCUACAUCUAGUGAAUAUCUCUCAAGCAAAGUGAAAAUAAAUAUUUUUAGAUGUAUAAAUCUGAAGUUUUGCCAUCAGCUGACCUAUACUAAUGAAAACUUUAAAAGAUAUUCUUUAAGGUAAAAGGAAAAACAUCCCAGCUAAAAGUGAUAUCUUUUGUAUUAACAUUAUUUAGAGGCUGAAGUUAGGUAAAAGAUCUCCUGUGCUGCAUGAUUCUUGUUUGAAACCACUGGAAUGAAAUAGAAAGUGUUUCAAGUAUACAAAUGAGCAUCUUUGUUUCAAAGUGAUCAUGUGUAUGUAAACGGUCAGCAUAUUUUUGUUGCAAGUAUCCUCAUGCUUAUACUGUCAGCUCCGUACCACACGUAUCAUAUAUAUUUACUAGUCACCAAUUCAUAAUGGGUAGCUAAUGGUUAAAGCGAAUACUUAUAAAAGACAUUUAAGACUCCCUAGCUCCUUUAAAGUAGUCCCCCAAAAUGUAUACUCUAUCCUCAGGCAAAGCAUUGAACAUUUCCUCUUGUGGCUUGAGACAUCAGGAAUCAUGGCUGCAGAGUAAGAAUGGUCAGGAUGACAAUUUCUCUAAUUUCCCUCCUUGAAACUAAGG